UACGUAGGGUGCAAGCGUUAAUCGGAAUUACUGGGCGUAAAGCGUGCGCAGGCGGUUUUGUAAGUCUGUUGUGAAAUCCCCGGGCUCAACCUGGGAAUGGCAAUGGAGACUGCAAGGCUAGAGUUUGGCAGAGGGGGGUAGAAUUCCACGUGUAGCGGUGAAAUGCGUAGAUAUGUGGAGGAAUACCGAUGGCGAAGGCAGCCCCCCUGGGAUAACACUGACGCUCAUGCACGAAAGCGUGGGGAGCAAACAGG
rnacentral:rRNA from 1 species